rnacentral:rRNA from 1 species
AUACAUAAGCGGAGGAAAAGAAACCAAACAGGGAUUGCCCUAGUAACGGCGAGUGAAGCGGCAACAGCUCAAAUUUGAAAUCUGGCUUCGGCCCGAGUUGUAAUUUGCAGAGGAUGUUUCUGGCGCGGUGCCUUCCGAGUUCCCUGGAACGGGACGCCACAGAGGGUGAGAGCCCCGUAUGGUUGGACACUAAGCCUGUGUGAAACUCCUUCGACGAGUCGAGUAGUUUGGGAAUGCUGCUCAAAAUGGGAGGUAAAUCUCUUCUAAAGCUAAAUACCGGCCAGAGACCGAUAGCGCACAAGUAGAGUGAUCGAAAGAUGAAAAGCACCUUGAAAAGGGGGUUAAACAGUACGUGAAAUUGUUGAAAGGGAAGCGCUUGUGACCAGACUUGCGCCGGGCGGUUCAUCCGGGGUUCUCCCCGGUGCACUCCGCCCGGUUCAGGCCAGCAUCGGUUUUCGUCGGGGGAUAAGAACGUCAGGAACGUGGCCCUCCCUCGGGAGGGUGUUAUAGCCUGGCGUACGAUACCCUGACGGGGACCGAGGUUCGCGCUCCGCAAGGAUGCUGGCGUAAUGGUCAUCAGCGACCCGUCUUGAAACACGGACCAAGGAGUCGUCCAUUAGAGCGAGCGUUUGGGUGUCAAACCCGCACGCGUAAUGAAAGUGAAAUUAGGUGAGAGCUUCGGCGCAUCAUCGACCGAUCCUGAUGUUCUCGGAUGGAUUUGAGUAAGAGUUUUAACGGACGGACCCGAAAGACAGUGAACUAUGCUUGUAUAGGGUGAAGCCAGAGGAAACUCUGGUGGAGGCUCGCAGCGGUUCUGACGUGCAAAUCGAUCGUCAAAUAUGAGCAUGGGGGCGAAAGACUAAUCGAAC